rnacentral:lncRNA from 1 species
CCCUCAUAUAUAAUAUGUGAAAAGUUACAGAUGCAAUGAGUCAAUUCUUUAAGUCCGGGAAAGCCUUUGAAGAAUGUCAACUUGGAUCCAUCAACUGUGAUUGACUUUCCCUGUCCCUUGGGGGCUGGAAGAAUGUUUUCACUUGAGAAUGAAUUUCACAGAUUGAAAAUCUUUCGCUGAUGAAUUUCCCUCUCCAAGACCAAGAUGUGAUGGUAGCGAGGGCCCUCUGAGAUAGAAUCUCGUUCUAGAAGGUUUUCCGCAUCUAAUCUAUCUCCCGAAGAUGAAGGCAGAGGGGCUCAGCGAGAAGAGGAUUGUAC